rnacentral:rRNA from 1 species
CCCUUAGAUGUUCUGGGCCGCACGCGCGCUACACUGAUUCAUGCAACGAGUUUUGUCCUUGGCUGAAAGGCCUGGGUAAUCUUUGAACGUGAAUCGUGCUGGGGAUAGAUGAUUGCAAUUAUUCAUCUUCAACGAGGAAUUCCUAGUAAACGCAAGUCAUCAACUUGCAUUGAUUACGUCCCUGCCCUUUGUACACACCGCCCGUCGCACCUACCGAUUGAAUGGUCCGGUGAAGCCUCCGGAUUGGCGCGCACCUCGGUGCCGCCGAGAAGUUGGCUAAACCUUACCAUUUAGAGGAAGGUGAAGUCGUAACA